rnacentral:lncRNA from 1 species
AUAUUUUUUCGAUAUUUGAAUUCUUUAAUUAGUUAUUCUUUUUAUUACAUUGGCAAAUGGCUUUUUUAAAAGAAAUUAAUGUAAAACAUGUAAGGAACUAUAUUUUUUUCUACGCAUUCACAGUUUGUUUUGAUCCGCCGUUAUCGACGUCUUGACAACGCCUUUUGUUGUAUGACGUCAGAGAGUGAAAUAACCACGUUUAUUUCACAUGUGAAAUUAUCGGUUUUUAUUUAACAGGGAAAUCAAUGUAAUUCAUUGCAACCAAUGUAAUAAAUC